rnacentral:rRNA from 1 species
UACGUAGGGUGCGAGCGUUGCCCGGAUUUAUUGGGCGUAAAGGGCUCGUAGGCGGUCUGUUGCGUCGGGAGUGAAAACUCAGGGCUUAACCCUGAGCCUGCUUCCGAUACGGGCAGACUAGAGGUAUGCAGGGGAGAACGGAAUUCCUGGUGUAGCGGUGAAAUGCGCAGAUAUCAGGAGGAACACCCGUGGCGAAGGCGGUUCUCUGGGACGGUACUGACGCUGAGACGCGAAAGCGUGGGGAGCGAACAGG